AGAGGAUCGUAAAUGCGACUCGCUGCUCCGGCCGCCUGGCGGCCGCGGGAUUCGAUUCUGGUCGAUCCUGCCAGACCCGACUGCUACCAUAGUGAGAUUAAGCCAUGCGAGUCAACGUAGCAAUACGUGGCAUACGGCUCAGUAACACGUAGUCAACAUAACCAAAGGACGUGGAUAAACUCGGGAAACUGAGGCUAAACCGCGAUAGUUCAAGAUACCUGGAAUGGUUUUUGAUCAAAAUCUAUAUGGCCUUUGGAUUGGACUGCGUCCGAUCAAGCUGUUGGUGAGGUAAUGGCCCACCAAACCUAUAACCGGUACGGGCUCUGAGAGGAGGAGCCCGGAGAUGGGUACUGAAAUAAGGACCCACCCCCUAUGGGGUGCGCAGGCGCGAAAGCUCUGCAAUAGGCGAAAGCUUGACAGGGUUACUCUGAGUGACUUUCGUUAAGAAAGUCUUUUGACACUUCUAAAAAUGGUGUAAAAUAAGGGGGGGGCAAUUCUGGUGUCAGCCGCCGCGGUAUUACCAGCACCCCGAGUGGCCGGGACGAUUAUAGGGCCUAAGGCAUCCGAACCCGGUCUUACAAGUCCUCCGUUAAAUCCAGCUACUUAACAUACGGGCUGCGUAGGAUGCUAUAGGACUAGGAGGCAGGACAGGCAAGCGGUACUCAGUGGGUAGGGGUAAAAUCCGUUGAUCCAUUGAAGAUCCCUUGUGGACAACGCGUCUUGCCAGGAUGCUCUCUACAGUGAGGUAUGAAAGCUGGGGGGAGAAAACCGGAUUAGAUACCCGGGUAUCACAGCUGUAA
rnacentral:rRNA from 1 species